rnacentral:rRNA from 1 species
UGGGGAAUUUUGGACAAUGGGCGAAAGCCUGAUCCAGCAAUGCCGCGUGUGUGAAGAAGGCCUUCGGGUUGUAAAGCACUUUUGUCCGGAAAGAAAUCCUUGGCUCUAAUACAGUCGGGGGAUGACGGUACCGGAAGAAUAAGCACCGGCUAACUACGUGCCAGCAGCCGCGGUAAUACGUAGGGUGCAAGCGUUAAUCGGAAUUACUGGGCGUAAAGCGUGCGCAGGCGGUUUGCUAAGACCGAUGUGAAAUCCCCGGGCUCAACCUGGGAACUGCAUUGGUGACUGGCAGGCUAGAGUAUGGCAGAGGGGGGUAGAAUUCCACGUGUAGCAGUGAAAUGCGUAGAGAUGUGGAGGAAUACCGAUGGCGAAGGCAGCCCCCUGGGCCAAAUACUGACGCUCAUGCACGAAAAGCGUGGGGGAGCAAAACAGGAUUAGAUACCCUGGUAGUCCACGCCCUAAAACGAUGUCAACUAGUUGUUGGGGAUUCAUUUCCUUAGUAACGUAGCUAAACGCGUGAAAGUUGACCGCCUGGGGAGUACGGUCGC